UAUGUGAUCGUCUCUCGCAUAUCAAUAAGCGGAGGAAAAGAAACUAACAAGGAUUCCCCUAGUAACGGCGAGUGAAGCGGGAAGAGCUCAAAUUUGAAAUCUUAAAGGGUUUCCCUUUACGAAUUGUAGUUUAAAGAAGUGUUUUCUGUUGAGGUUUUGGUAAAAGUUCUUUGGAAUAGGACAUCAUAGAGGGUGAGAAUCCCGUAUUUGACCUUUACUUUCAACUUUGUGAUACACUUUCGAAGAGUCGGAUUGUUUGGGAAUGCAGUCCAAAAUGGGUGGUAAAUUUCAUCUAAAGCUAAAUAUUGGCGAGAGACCGAUAGCGAACAAGUACCGUGAGGGAAAGAUGAAAAGAACUUUGAAAAGAGAGUUAAACAGUACGUGAAAUUGUCAAAAGGGAAGCGUUUGACACCAGUGUUGUUUUUCUGAAAAUCAAUUAAAGAACUGUUUAUGCUAAGUUGUUUAGACUUUAUCAGCUAUCUGUUUAGUUUUGAGCUUUUCUUUAAUGCACUUUUCAGUUAACAAGUCAACAUCAAUUUCUUUUGCUGUAAAAAAGCUUGAGGAAGGUGGCUUGAGAUUCGUCUUAAGUGUUUAUAGCCUCUUGCCUAUGCAGUCGGAGAGAUUGAGGUCUGCAGCGUAGAUCCUUCGGGGCUAAAUGCAUUUGUGCUAAGUUAUAGCAUUUUAUAGACAACUUGUUGACUAUGAUUUGUCUUGUAGCUUACUCGCUUAUGUUAUUUUACCUACGCUUAGGAUGUUGAUAUGCAUGACUGAUAU
rnacentral:rRNA from 1 species